rnacentral:tRNA from 1 species
AAAUAAGAAGCAAAAGAAAUUUGUGAUUAGUUUCGACCUAAUUUUAGAUACUAAAGUAUCCUUAUUUU